rnacentral:rRNA from 1 species
CUCUGUGACUCCUACGGGGAGGCAGCAGUGGGGGAAUAUUGCACAAUGGGCGCAAGCCUGAUGCAGCCAUGCCGCGUGUAUGAAGAAGGCCUUCGGGUUGUAAAGUACUUUCAGCAGUGAGGAAGGUUCAUGCGUUAAUAGCGUAUGGAUUUGACGUUAGCUGCAGAAGAAGCACCGGCUAACUCCGUGCCAGCAGCCGCGGUAAUACGGAGGGUGCGAGCGUUAAUCGGAAUUACUGGGCGUAAAGCGCAUGCAGGUGGUUUGUUAAGUCAGAUGUGAAAGCCCGGGGCUCAACCUCGGAAUUGCAUUUGAAACUGGCAGACUAGAGUACUGUAGAGGGGGGUAGGAAUUUCAGGUGUAGCGGUGAAAUGCGUAGAGAUCUGAAGGAAUACCGGUGGCGAAGGCGGCCCCCUGGACAGAUACUGACACUCAGAUGCGAAAGCGUGGGGAGCAAACAGGAUUAGAUACCCUGGUAG